rnacentral:tRNA from 1 species
UGUAGGGUGGAGCAGUUGGUAGCUUACCGGCCUCAUAAGCCGGAGGACGCGGGUUCGAUUCCCGACCCUACAA